rnacentral:misc_RNA from 1 species
AGAACAUUAUAUUGGGAAGCAAACUUUGAUAAUUGAUAGUACAAUGCUAAUAUUGUCCAGCCAAGCAAAGAAUUAUACAAGACCAUCACAACCAAAAUACCAAUUGCACAUCUACUAAUUAUACAAUGCUUUAUUUAAUUUAUUAUGCUAGAAACAUUCAUGAAUAUAAAUAUAUUCAUUCUUUCUUUAGUAGUGGGCUGAAUUUAUUGGAGAAGAAAAAACCCAUACGGAAUCCUUCAAACAGUGUCAACCUGAAGCUAAUUUUGUAGAAAUUUUGCUCUAUGCUCAAAACACUUGAUAUUUGGGAUGUG